GACUGUACAAAGGUAGCAUAAUCAUUUGUCUUUUAAUUGAAGGCUUGCAUGAAUGGUUGGAUGAAAAAUAUACUUUCUUUAUUUUAUAAAAAAAAAUUAAUUUUUUAGUCAAAAAGCUAAGAUUUUAUUAUAGGACGAGAAGACCCUAUAGAACUUUAUUUUCUUUUUCAUAUAAAUUUUUUAGUUUUAUAUAAAUUUAUAUGAAGGUGUUAAUUUUGUUGGGGUGAUUGAAAAAAAAAAUUAACUUUUUCUAUUUUUAACAUUUAUUUAUGUUUUUUUGAUCCUUUAUUAUGGAAAUAAGAUUAAGUUACCUUAGGGAUAACAGCGUUAUUUUUUUGGAGAGUUCUUAUCGAUAAAAAAGUUUGCGACCUCGAUGUUGGAUUAAAAUAAGUAAUAGGAGUAGAAUAUUAUUUACUAGGUCUGUUCGACCUUUAAAUUUUUACA
rnacentral:rRNA from 1 species